AAAAGGAGGGCUGCAUUGAACCUACUGCCAACUAGGCUCUGUGCUAGGCACAUAUACGCCUUAACUCAUAGUAGCAUUAUAUGCCAUAAACCAUAAAACCCCAAAAGGUAAAUGAUUUAUCCCCAUUUUACACAUGAAAGAAAAAAACUGAAGCUCAGGAAGAUUAUGGAAACUGACCAAGGUCACAAAUCUAGGAGGUAGGAUUGUAAAGUACAUCUACCUGGCUUCAAGAUCUAUUACCUAGAACUAAUCACAUUGUUAGCAACAGUGAUCUUGGGAGACAAGAAUUUUGUAAACCAAAGUGCCAUACAAAUACAAAGCUAUUGUUAUCAUAAUCUGUCAAUUUCCUGUGUUUCUAUCAUUGCCCUCAUAGGCCCUCUUGUCUGAAGUUGAUGAAUACCAUUUAAUAUAUCAGUCAAGUACUUUAUUUUGUCAGGGCCCUGUGGUAGGCUCUGGCCAGGCCUGCUGUGUUCAAUCCCCUCUCAGUCUGUUUAGAUUGGACAUGACUGCCUGCGUAUAUUCACACAUUGGUCACCAUCUCAUAGACGCAAAGUCGCUAUUCAGGAGUGAUGUCUACUCACUAUUUUAUAAUCUGUGUAAACUAUAGCAAGAUGGUGCCGAUGGCAAAGUAUCCCAAACUCAGAUAUUCAAUCCAGAGAUAUAGCUUCAUAAUGGCAAUAUAUCUACAAAAGGUAAAUUUACUGGAGUUUCAAAGUGACAUGGCUAAGGAUGACAUAGGCUUGGUAAACUCCUACCUAGGGCUUUCCAUGCCCUGACAAAACCUCAUUCCUGGCAGGAAGUCCACCAUGACCACUAAGUCAAGCAUUUUUUUCCUUGAGGAGCUGGAUAAUUUGGGAAGGUGUGCUCACAUCUUACUUCCCCUAGGCUGAUACCUCCUGAUACAUUUUGCUGAGAACCUAUCAUGUGUGCUCAUUGGAAUCGACUAUAAGAUGUAAAAGAUUUGUGUGUCAGAGUAUUCACUUGGGUCAUGUCUCCAACCCUCCUUCUGUAGAGCAACUUCAGCCUGGAAAAGCAGAAAUGAGAUGCGGCCAAGAAAAAGACUCCAGCCCAGCCUGCCUUGGUUCUAACCCUGACUGUUACUUAACCUCUUUCUGGCUCAGUCAAGAAACUUGAGCACUGCAAGAUGAUCAUGUGGAAUACCUACUUCAAACGGAUGUUAAGAGGAGUAAAAGUGUUCUUGUUUCUAAGUGCUUGAAAUGCAGCUGGCAUAUAAUUAAGCUAUGCAAAUAUUUACUUUUUUUUUUUGAAAUGCUGAGUUUACUGAUCACUCUAAUUUUUACAUAUGUGUGUCAUUACAGAAGAUUCAGGCUUUAGCGAUGACUGGAGGGUCAUUCGCUGGAAAGAAUUUCAUCAGUUGGAACUAAAUCAUGGUGAGCAAAAGAAAGUCUACCUAAGUGAUAUGGUUUGGCUCUGUGUCCACAUCCAGAUCUCAUCUCGAAUUGUAAUUCCCACAAGUUGUGGGACGGAGGUGAUUGAAUCAUGGGGGCAGGUGCCCCAAUGCUGUUCUGGUGAUAAUGAGUGAGUCCCCAAGAGAACUGAUGAUUUUAUAAGGGGCUCUUCCCCCUUCACUUUCUCUUCUCUCUCCUGCUGCCUUGUGAAGCAGGUGCCUGCUUCGCCUUCUGCCAUGAUUGUGUUUCCUGAGGCCUCCCCAGCCAUGCAGAACUGUGAGUCAAUUAAAACUCUUUUCUUUAUAAAUUACUUAGUCUCUGGCAGUUCUUUAUAGCAGUGUGAGAAUGGACUAAUACACUAAGUUACUUCCUGAGUAGACCAAUGGCCUCCAUUCCCUCUGUCAAACAUACGACACUGACCCUGAAGGUAGCUUGGGCUGGCUGGGGAUGCACUCUCUGUAUGGCCCUGGUGCAUCACCUCCCCCACCCACUUCCACCCUCCCUGCUAAUGUGGAGUGUGUGUAGAGUGCACAGUUACAAUGAGGCCGUUGUGACAGUCCUGGUCACUGUUUUGAUCACAUGAUUUUUUAUUUUGUAGAUGAAUGAAAUACAAGUACAACAAGAAAAAGUUUCUGUAAAAACUAAGGUGAUUGCUUUAGAAUAACUCCAUAAAGGUCAUUCUGAAAAACAAUUGCUGCAACUCUAAAAGAUGGGGAAAUCUAGAAGCAUUCUGCACUUUGAUCAUGCACUGGGGCUGCAGUUUGUGCUUGAAGGAUUACCAAGAACUCCAAUUGUAGUGCCUCACUUUGGAGUCGGCUGAGAAGAUCAUUCCAGACGGGAGUUUUGACACUGUACAAAUGCACUGUCUUCACAUCUACGCUGACACCCCUGCCUUUCUACCUGCAGGUGUCUGUGGCUUACAAGCUGGUGCCUCCCACAGACCCUGUAGUUUGGAGCUAAUGAAGAGCUGAGAAGCUACCAGGAUCUGCAACUUUUUGCCUGAGGGUUUUCUCAGAAGACACAGAAACUGUUCUGCCUAUAAGCCUUGAAGUGCCAGGGAAUUAACACCUACCUUCCCACAGCCCUCCCCACAGUGACUGAUAGCAUUGAUAACGAUACCCAAGCUUCACCCCUCAGGUGGGAUAACUGAGCUGCUUGUUCUAUACCAUGUUCUAGAGUUUCUCCCAUGAGUUUAGGUUCUAAUCAUCCACAUGUAAAUUGCUUGAUAAGAAACCUUCAUUGACUCCUUGUCUCACUUCCCCUCCCCUUAUUUGUUUUGUUUGCACCUUUCAAAUAAACUAUUUUCAUUCAAAUC
rnacentral:lncRNA from 10 species